GCGGCAUUUAUUUUUUCGUAUCACGGUCGAAUCUUCUUAAGUUUCACAUACUGUGUGUCCAACAUGGCCGACCGGCUGAUUGUUUCCGUGUCGGAGAACAGAGUGAUUUUUGAUAAAAGACACAAACAUUACAAAGAUAACGACCUGAACGACGACUUGUGGAGAGUCAUAGCGCCGGAUUUCUCAUAUGACGAUUUAACAGUUUGCGUCUUUUUUUCUGCCCGGAAAGUCGCAAAAUCGCAUCGCGAUUGAUGUGUAUGGUCAGGCGCGUCAAAAUUCGCCGCAGAAUAUUUCGUAAUUUCGUGUCGUCUAUUUGCGUCAUUCCCGAUGUGUAAGGACCUUUACAGCCCCAAACUAGGACAGAUUAAAGACUCAUUUAUGCUCGCCAUACGUAUGAAAACGUACGCGUCCGUUUCAAACGAUGGUUCCGUUACUGCGACCUUUACAUUAGGAUGGAUGUUAACCAUUACAUCCACCAGGGGGCAGGCCGGAGUCAAAAGUUUCUGACAACAACAGACAAAAAGAAACAUGGCGACUGUGGUGGAGCGAGUGAUGAUGGAUAUUUUGCAUAUGAGACAGAAACAGAGGCAGCGUUGGAGGAGGCGGUGGUCGGUCGGGCCAAUAAACGCCUCGCAGUUGGAGGACAGGGGAUUCUUUUCUCUAGUCUCACUGAUGAGAGAAAAUGACGAUGAUCCUUAAAAAGCCCCGACACUGUCUUCUUUGUUUCUCUCUAGAGAUGCAUAUCGGGUUGUUACAGCAGCAACACUGCCCCCUUGGUUUCCGGUGGUACUGCUAUCCGUAAACUUCAAGGAUACGUGCAGAAAUACAAACGAAAAGAACGAGAGGCACAGAUGGAGAGUUCAAUAUCCGGAUCCGUAUGUAAUGUUGAGUAUAAUGAGCCUGAAGUAAAACUCAGAGAAUUACCAAAUUACAUCUUGUUCAUGUCAAAAGAAAACUUCAGCUGACAUCUAAAAUCGGACUUAAAAAAAACUGUUCCAGUCGUACUCACCCAGACUACCUUUACCCGCUGAAGGAGGCCUGCUUUUAUUUUGUUAAAUCAGUGAUACCAAACGAUGGUUUAAGAUUGGUGGUGGGAUUAUUUCCUGUAAAACGACGCCUGCUUCAAAUCCAAUGUCUGUAUUCACAAACUUUCUGAGAACUUCCUCACAGAGCUGCUAACUUGGUAAAAACUUUUGAGUACUCAAAACUUCUUAAAGAACAUCUGCAGAGCAUCUCCGGGCGAGGAGAAACGCAAACUUUAAUCUAAGUUACUCUUUUUUUUACAGAAGUUUCUGAGAGUUCUGACUUUCUCCUCUGGAUUCUGACUCAUGUCUCAGAACUCUCAUUUUAUUGGGGUGAGUAAGCGCGAGUAAAGUCAUCGACUCGCUUCACUCGCACAUAUGUCCGCUCUAUUCGGAAGAAUCAUUCAGUCCAUUCAGUCCAUUCAUGCGUCACCAGAGUGCUAAAAAACCGUGGAUAGCUGCUUAUGCUAAUUCCUUGCCAAUCCAACCGGCGUGAUCAUGUGACAGACAACGGUUUUUCACGACUUACCAGAUAAUCCGACCUCCUCACUCACUUUCCUCCAGGCGAGCUCUCGUGAAUUCGUAAGUCAACUGUAUUUGUUUUUCAACAUGUAGAAACCAAGACUGUCCACAGGGGGCGCCAACUAUAACACACAUUAAAAGUUCCUCACAGCAGCUUUAAAACCUUUUACAUAGUUAAAAGCCUUUUUAAAAUCUAGUAACACUCUAAACUUUUAUAAUCUUUUAUUAUCUUAUCUAUUAUAAAACACAAAACCCGGGAUACAAUUGAUCCUUUGGGGAAAAUCUCAAAAAUAAAUACACUCAUAGGCCGUCGCUGUUACUUAAACUGUGAUGUCAAGCUGUUACCUUUCUAUGGUUCUUCUCCUCAAAGUUUUUCCAGAAUGACUAAUGUCUGUUUCGUUAAGUCUAAUUUGUAAUUAGGCGACACAUUUGGCUUCAUUUGGAGAAAAAUGACAAGAAGAUGGAGUAAUGCUUUCUGGGAUGAUACUUUAUGCUGCCUGCUAAUGGCGAAUCAUUACCACAGCGACCUGUCAACCAGGAUAAAGACAGAACAUUGCAAUUGACAAUUUGUCAUCCAAUUAUGGAGACUUCUGGCUGCAAAUUUUAAAAUACCAGACUCGAUGCUUCAAAAUCAUGUCACUGUGACUUUUUUAAACUCUUUUGAUAGAGUCUAUGUCCAAAAUAAUAAUAAAUGAAAAACUGUUAGUGCGUGUCAUUAAAAGUGCACAAAAAUAAACCUUCCUGGGGAUUCAGCUUUAGCGUGGAGGAUGAGGUUAGUAAGAAACGGACAAAGAUGGAACACAAAGCUCACUGUUAUCAAGAUUAUUUGGCCCCGGUGGCUAAAGUGUGUUCAGUCCGAAGGAGAAUGAGAUGUCUGUUUUUACUGCUGAUAUUCUCAUUUCAUAGAGCUCCAUUCUCCUCUCUAUAGAGGCCAAAAUGGUUACGGGCAGGCUGCUCACAGAAGGUAGAGAUGUGCUCAUAUUUCACCCGUAUGUGGCAUUUACACCUUGGGGAUAGGAAACCAUGGCUUAAUAAUACAUGGGUCCUUGCUCUGACACAUCUGAUAUGUAAUUUUUCUGUUCGGCUGUCGUGAAUUUGACUACAGAAUCAACAUCAGCAUAACAUCUAUGAAUAAAUAAGUCUAUUUGUGACAGAAAUUUGCACAUUGAAGCCGAGAAAGCAAUUACGAAGGCGUCUAGACUCCAAACAAAACAGCUUUUAAUGUGAAAUUUUAUUUUUUGUAAGUCAAUUUUCCUCUGUAAUUGAAACAGUGCAUUCGUCGCACAAUGCACCGCUCCUUAAACCAAACAAAAUUAAUUAAGCAAAAAUGUAGAUGGCUGGCAUCCAAAGAUCAGACCCAAGGGAGCGGCGCUGAGGGGGGGCGGGGGUGCAGAGGGCUGCUGUGAGUAGCGAUCCAGGUUGCCUCUUGUUUGGUUUGAAAUCAUUAAAUUACAGUAAUGACUAAUUUCUCAUUCCUGCGCGCAAUUCGCCUGAGACCACCAUGGAUUUAAUAAAGAGCUGGCGAUGAAUUACAAACAGCAAACGGCUAAGGGAAAGGCUACGUGAUUAUACAGAGUAAUUCAAAAGUGCAUUAAUAAAACAAUACAGAAACAUUGCUAAAUCAUUUGAGAUAAGGGCCAUUUGCAUAAUUCAUUAAGAUUAAUCAGACCAGGCAAUCCUCCGCAGUGCUCCAAGGAACAGAGAGGGAAGACAUGAAUCCAAUCCCCAGGAAAAAAAGCCUUUCUAUCUACAAACAAUGAUACAAAUCUGCCCUUGGAUCAGAGAAUUAACCUCUGUGCACUUUACAGCCCCUGCAGUGUUGGAACACAAUCCUUCAGUCAUCCACCUUUAUGUGGGCUAAUAUUCUAUUAAUAAUGAAAGAUCUUUUCAUGCCACUGCUCCUCUGGGUUUUGUUGCUCCGCCAUAAAAGACCUUCACAAAAGUUGAAUGGAAAUGUAUUCUGCGUGUUUGGGAGCGGCGGUGUGGAUGUGAGGGCUGGCUGUUUGAUAAUUCUGUGUGCGGCUUUUGACUCCGGCGUUUCAUUCUCUGCAGUACAAUGAGGCGGGCAGGAUGCACAUGGGACGAGUUUGGCACCGGUCACGGAUCGCGAAUUGUAGAUAAGUCACCUGUUGUGCCAGCAGAGACCACCUGUGCACAUCACAAUCCUCAGUCCAGUCAUGUUUUUCCCUUUCAUGGAUGUUGAAAAGAAAUAGUUAUGGCUAUAAGAUCUGAUCUUUUUAGGAAGAGUUUGAUGUAAAAAAAAAACGAGAACAUCAGAAAUUAUGAAAAACAGCUGUUCUGCAUGGUUUCGUUAAAGGGAUAUUCUGGCAUGGUCAAACACACCGAGUUAGACCCCCCCUCCAGAGAUGAAUGUUGAUGACCGCUUGCCUCUCUAGUUAUACCAACUUUAGUAACGACCGCACGAUAGCAAUACACAGCGGUCUACGUCUCUAACCAAAACGCCACUCUAUAGCCACAAAUAAUGCUCAGAACAGCACCUAACUUCAUCAACAGGACAUAUAGGGUCCCAGCCAUAGUACUAGACACCAAACAUCUUUUUAACUUUGACUCAUUUCUUUAGCAAAGAGACUAAACACAACUCACCUACUCUCUUCCAGCAGCCGCUUGUUUGAGGCUGACGAGUCGAUCGCUGAAUGCAGCGGAUCAUUUGCAGCGAUUUUGCUCUGCAGACACGGUAGUUCUUCUGCCUUAUCAUCUCGGUCUGAUUGCAUUUCCAUGUAGUAACAAUCAAAUUUUUCCGCUGCACUCGGUGAUUGACUCGUCAGGUCUCCACCACAAACAAGCGGCUGCUGGAAGAGAGUAGGUGAGUUGUGUUUGGUCUUUUUGCUAAAGAACCAGGCAAAGCUAAAAUAAGGUGACCAGAUGUCCCCGAUUUACAGUCCCGGACCUGUCCCUGACUAAAGCCGUCCCUGGAAAUAUCCCUUAUUUAAGCGUUUAAUGAAUGAGAACAAAAAUGUUGCUCCUCAGACCGCUGUGUAUUUCUAUCCUGCAGUCGUUACUAAAGUUGGUUUAACUAGAGAAGUAAGCGGUCGACAACAUUCAUCUCUGGAGGGGGGUCUAACUUGAUUUUAUCGUGUGUUUGACCCUAACUUAAAUUUACGCCAGAAUAUCCCUUUAGGUUCAUUUCAAUUUGACUUUCUGCUUUAUUGCGGCCAAAUGAGCGGCAUGCAAGUAUUAUUCUAAAGGUGAAAAGCUCAGCAUCCAGCCAUCCCUGCUGUUAUUGUAUUACGGCUUUAAGUGGUGCUUCAAUGAGAUAUGGAAGUAUCAUGGUGGAGCUGACAAAAGAGCUGUCAGUCACUGCAGCUGAAAGCUAGUAAUUCAUGUAAUAAUACUGAUUUGGUGUACUCUGAGUGAUUUGAUCAUUGUGUUAAUGGUUUUGUCUUUUACACCCGUACUACACCAGAUAAUAGGAAUAGUACCACACAAAGAGCCUUUCUCAUCAUAUGUAUGUAUGAUAUGUAACGCACUAACCAACUGUUUUUAACCAAUCCCACUCACACACCACUGGGCGCAGCCAGCAAGGGCAGGUGUGGUCAAGUGUCUUGCUUGGAGGCACUUAGCCAUCGUGUUGUUGCAGGCUGCAAAACUGAUAAUCUGACAAAUCCUGAUCAUUUCAGCACUUUCAGAUCAAUCAGUGAUGGAAACAGCAAAAGUUCUUUAUAUACACAGGGGUGCCUCUGAAAAAAGGGGGGUCCUGAGCAGAUUUGUAUUGAGGCCCCCUCACAGACACCUGUGGUAUCCCUGCAGAAUCGGUGCAUUUAUGUCCUUUAACUUAACAACCUUUAUCUGUAAGAGGAGGGUUUCGGUAAUGUUACGAUUAUUAUGUUUGAUUAUUUCAGACGUCAAUGUUUUUUUUCGAACCCGUAUCCUGUCAAUACAAGCGUUCACAUCAGUGACGUUUUCCCGUCCUGCGAUAUUGUGGCAUUUAUUUUUUCGCAUCACAGUCAAUUUUUCUAAAGUUUCUCAUACUGUGUGUCCACUUCUGACCAAUCAGAUUGCGUGUUGUUGCGACGUCAGAUUCACCGGUAUAUCCAACAUGGCCGACCGGCUGAUUGUUUACGUGUCGGAGAACAGAGUGAUUUUUGAUAAAAGACACAAACAUUACAAAGAUAACGACCUGAAGGACGACUUGUGGAGAGUCACAGCGUCGGAUUUCUCAUCUGACGAUGGUUUGUGAGCUUUAACAGUUUGAUAAACGUCUUUGUUUGAACUUUCAUCUGUGCUAA